rnacentral:rRNA from 1 species
AACGCGAAGAACCUUACCCAGGUUUGACAUGCAGAUGACAGUUCUAGAAAUAGGACGUUCCUUCGGGACAUCUGCACAGGUGCUGCAUGGCUGUCGUCAGCUCGUGCCGUGAGGUGUUUGGUUAAGUCCAGCAACGAGCGCAACCCUUAUCAUUAGUUGCCAACAUUUAAGGUGGGAACUCUAGUGAGACUGCCUGGGUUAACCAGGAGGAAGGUGAGGAUGACGUCAAGUCCGCAUGGCCCUUAUAUCUGGGGCUACACACGUGCUACAAUGGUCGGUACAGAAGGCAGCGAAACCGCAAGGCGAAGCAAAUCCCAAAAACCGAUCCCAGUUCAGAUUGUAGUCUGCAACUCGACUACAUGAAGACGGAAUUGCUAGUAAUGGCGAGUCAGCAACAUCGCCGUGAAUACGUUCCCGGGCCUUGUA